rnacentral:rRNA from 1 species
CCUACGGGUGGCAGCAGUGGGGAAUAUUGGGCAAUGGAGGAAACUCUGACCCAGCAACACCGCGUGAAUGAUGAAGGUCUUCGGAUUGUAAAGUUCCUUUCUAAGGGAAGAAAAAAGUGACGGUACCUUAGGAAUAUGCCUCGGCUAACUACGUGCCAGCCGCCGCGGUAAUACGUAGGAGGCGAGCGUUAACCGGAAGUACUGGGCGUAAAGGGUGCGUUGGUGGUUUGGCAAGUUAGUAGCGUAACUCCAAGGCUCAACCUUGGAACUGCUACUGAAACUGUUGGACUUGAGUGCAGGAAGGGCAACCGGAAUUCCUAGUGUAGCGGUGGAAUGCGUAGAUAUUAGGAGGAACACCAGUGGCGAAGGCGAGUUGCUGGACUGUAACUGACGCUGAGGCACGAAAGCGUGGGGAGCAAACAGGAUUAGAUACCCGUGUAGUC